UGGGGAAUUUUGGACAAUGGGCGAAAGCCUGAUCCAGCAAUGCCGCGUGUGUGAAGAAGGCCUUCGGGUUGUAAAGCACUUUUGUCCGGAAAGAAAUCCUUGGCUCUAAUACAGUCGGGGGAUGACGGUACCGGAAGAAUAAGCACCGGCUAACUACGUGCCAGCAGCCGCGGUAAUACGUAGGGUGCAAGCGUUAAUCGGAAUUACUGGGCGUAAAGCGUGCGCAGGCGGUUUGCUAAGACCGAUGUGAAAUCCCCGGGCUCAACCUGGGAACUGCAUUGGUGACUGGCAGGCUAGAGUAUGGCAGAGGGGGGUAGAAUUCCACGUGUAGCAGUGAAAUGCGUAGAGAUGUGGAGGAAUACCGAUGGCGAAGGCAGCCCCCUGGGCCAAAUACUGACGCUCAUGCACGAAAGCGUGGGGAGCAAACAGGAUUAGAUACCCUGGUAGUCCACGCCCUAAAACGAUGUCAACUAGUUGUUGGGGAUUCAUUUCCUUAGUAACGUAGCUAACGCGUGAAGUUGACCGCCUGGGGAGUACGGUCGCAAGAUUAAAACUCAAAGGAAUUGACGGGGUCAUAGCUGUUUCC
rnacentral:rRNA from 1 species